rnacentral:rRNA from 1 species
GACAGAGGGUGCAAACGUUGCUCGGAAUCACUGGGCGUAAAGCGCGUGUAGGCGGCUAUGCGAGUCGGGCGUGAAAGCCCUCGGCUCAACCGAGGAAGUGCACUCGAAACUGCGUAGCUAGAGUCCCGGAGAGGAAGGUGGAAUACUUGGUGUAGAGGUGAAAUUCGUAGAUAUCAAGUGGAACACCGGUGGCGAAGGCGGCCUUCUGGACGGUGACUGACGCUGAGACGCGAAAGCGUGGGGAGCAAACAGG